rnacentral:rRNA from 1 species
GACGAACGCUGGCGGCGUGCUUAACACAUGCAAGUCGAACGGAAAGGCCCUGCUUGCAGUGUACUCGAGUGGCGAACGGGUGAGUAACACGUGGGUGAUCUGCCCUGCACUUCGGGAUAAGCCUGGGAAACUGGGUCUAAUACCGGAUAGGAGCCAUUUUUAGUGUGAUGGUUGGAAAGUUUUUUCGGUGUAGGAUGAGUUCGCGGCCUAUCAGCUUGUUGGUGGGGUAAUGGCCUACCAAGGCGGCGACGGGUAGCCGGCCUGAGAGGGUGGACGGCCACAUUGGGACUGAGAUACGGCCCAGACUCCUACGGGAGGCAGCAGUGGGGAAUAUUGCACAAUGGGCGCCAGCCUGAUGCAGCGACGCCGCGUGGGGGAUGACGGCCUUCGGGUUGUAAACUCCUUUCGCAAGGGACGAAGCUUUUUGUGACGGUACCUAGAUAAGAAGCACCGGCUAACUACGUG